GGGCCUAUAGCUCAGCUGGUUAGAGCAGCAGACUCAUAAUCUGCGGGUCGAAGGUUCGAACCCUUCUGGGCCCA
rnacentral:tRNA from 1 species